rnacentral:rRNA from 1 species
UACGUAGGGCGCAAGCGUUAUCCGGAAUUAUUGGGCGUAAAGAGCUCGUAGGCGGUUUGUCGCGUCUGCCGUGAAAGUCCGGGGCUCAACUCCGGAUCUGCGGUGGGUACGGGCAGACUAGAGUGAUGUAGGGGAGACUGGAAUUCCUGGUGUAGCGGUGAAUGCGCAGAUAUCGCUUGGAACGCCGAAGGUGAAAACAGGUUGCUGGGGGUGUGCUGACGCUGAGAAACGAAAGCCAGGGGGAGCAAACGGGG